ensembl:lncRNA
CUGCUUUAGACCGGUUCGACCUUCGAGAUAUUCUGACUGAAACGUAGCGCUACGUCGUACCGAAUCGCGCCCCUGCGGAGAUACGAUCUGCUUAACGCUGGUCCGACUUCCCCCCGAUCGGAUUCACCAGCGUACAUAAACCAUGUCAACAUCUCGUUUGAGAAGACGCUGGAAAGCAAAAUAAAGUCCUGCGCAAAGCUCAUACGACAUGCAAAACACGUCAGCUGACGCUUACAGAAGCGGAGGACAUAAACAUGCUAGCCGCCAGAUUCUGAGGAAAUGAUUAAUGAAUGAAAUAAAAGGUUUUUCGGUUGUGGCUGAAACGUUCACAGACCACCGUCUGACGUCGGGUCGAAGCACAGACGCGGUUAGAUUAAUGCCGUAUACGUUCAGUCCGCCGACGCACUUCACGGGCUAGCUGGUCCCACGUUAUUCCAUUACUGUAGCUACCACCAGCUAUUACAUCUAUACCAUCAGAGCUGCUGGCGGAAAACCGGAUCGUCUCUCCAUCCGGAAAAAUAAAUAUCCCGUGUCACUUACCGUAAAACUUUACUUUUCUACAUGCCUUUUCUCAGCCACGACAUUUUUAUAAAUAACAAAUGAGAAAAAAUAUUUACGCCCUCUCCGCCAUUUGUUUGACCUUAAACGCCGUAAUUACAUUCGAGGAGAGCAGAGUUUCCGGUGUGGGAAAGCGGUGCGUAGAAACCGUGCAGAAAUUCGUCGUCGAGCUUAAAUGAAAAGGUAAAUAUCGACCCGCUACGAACCGAUCGCUAAUUACAAUCAUAAUGUUCUGGUGAUUCUUCAGUAAGUACACAUCGAAUCCCUGACCCGAGGACAAACGCACGCGUGCGAACGGUGCGGCGUGUUUCAAAACCGCCGAGACGUCGACUCAAACGAAUCGAACAUAUUAAAUGAAUACAUUUUAAAAACGUACGCGAUGGAAAAAGAGAACGGAAUGAAAGCGGGGGAGGUUUUAGGAAACUGAGCGGCCGGGUGACGAGCGCCACGCUCCCGGUCACGCCUCCACAUGCAAAUCCACCCCGCAGUGGAAGCUCUCCGUGCUAACUUCCUCCCAGACACCACAUCGUUUGCAUGAACACAAGCUGCUGCUGAACAGAUAUGAAGAAAAUACCGACGUGUGCUCCGAGCCUGGACGCUUCCACACGCACAACGGGUUCUUUACGAUAGUCACGGGUUCUUAGUGAACACUGUGGUGCACGGUUCUGUGUAGAACUUUCAAGGGGGUGUUCAGAGGGAACUGAAGAACCCUCAACGGUUCUGAAUUUAAGAGUGGACAGCUGAGCAGAUCAGGGUGAAGAACCUCGGGCACUGACUUGGGCACUGCCUCGGGCACUGCCUCGGGCAGUGACUCGGGCACUGACUCGGGCACUGCCUCGGGCACUGACUCGGGCACUGACUCGGGCACUUCGGUGAAGCUGGGACGUAAACUUCAACCGGGAGCUCCACUGUUAGUACAGUAAAGGUUCCACCUAAAGCAUUUUAAGGUACCUUGGUUUGCUCCUCUAGGGGAACUCUUACCCUAUACUCACACCGACUAAAAGUUUCUACCAUUUUUAAUCAUAAAGGUUUGUUUUCUUUUUUUAAUGCUACUAAUUUUGUACAUAUUCUAUUGAAAUGUUUCACGGACAUUAAACUCAUUUUGUAAUUCGAGCAGCUUCAUUUCGAAAUCAAAACUCUGGAGGAGCACAAACGGAACUCUGGGAAUUAUGUCGUGAUUAAAAAAAAUCCAAAAUAAAUCUAAAUCGCCCGGUGUUUUAGCGUCUUCGAAGUCGACGCCCUUUUCGCCUAGAAUUUGCAGAAAUGCCUUCUCGGCGUUUCCUCGCGCGAGCUCUUGAGGAAUUUCCCCGAGAUGAUUUUUGAACGGUAUUGAAGGGGUUCGCGCCGACGCCGGACUCUCAUCUCCCGCUUUUCAGAAUACUUCCCUCCGAGCCGUCCGUUUAAAUGAAGAUAUAUUUGUAAAUAAAUUGUUAGAUUAGGAAGGGGGCGUGGCUUCCAGUGGGUCGGUUUAUAUUAAUGAGUUCAAAGCACUUACGCGGCGGUCGAUCGGUUCGGUAUAUUUCUGAGAGAUCUCGUACGGGCGUACUGGAAUCUCGGCGCUCCGAAGGUUAGCACGUCUGCAGGACGCCGACGCUGAGCCUAGCCGCGUGUGUGGUCCCGGGGUGAGACGCGAGACCGGUCUCGUACGUCGUUACAGCUGUGGCUUCGCGAACCUCCACGUCAACAGCUCUGAUAUCACCGGGGUUUAGUCUUGCAUACUUGUACAACAUCGUGCAAGAUCAGGCAUGACGGCGUGCCACCCACCGCAGCGCUUCAGACGAGUCUCUCAGAGGAACCGGGCGCUCCAGAGGAUCCCUCGUUCACUCUGCCCGGUUCUCCGUCUCUCUCUUUAAUCAUGUACCUGCAUGUCAAGUCAAAGGAGAGUGCAUUCUCCACAGACCAUUUCUCCCAGCUCUAAUGAG